rnacentral:sRNA from 1 species
CCCGGCAAUGAAUUGCCGGGCUAUUUUCAUCCGUCCCUACAGGACU